rnacentral:piRNA from 1 species
UGCCCAGACUGCACUCAACAUUACCAUUGC